AGAGUUUGAUCCUGGCUCAGGACGAACGCUGGCGGCGUGCUUAACACAUGCAAGUCGAACGGGGAUGAUUGGAGCACUUCGGUCGGAAGGAUCAUUCUAGUAGGCGGACGGGUGAGUGACGCGUGAGUAACCUGCCUUGAACUGGGGGAUAACAGCGAGAAAUCGGUUGCUUAAUACCGCAUAAGACCACGGCAGCCGCAUGGUUCAGGGGUCAAAGAUUUAUCGGUUUGAGAUGGACUCGCGUCUGAUUAGCUAGUUGGUGAGGUAAUGGCUCACCAAGAAGGCGAUCAGUAGCCGAGCUGAGAGGCUGAACGGCCACACUGGGACUGAGACACGGCCCAGACUCCUACGGGAGGCAGCAGUGGGGAAUAUUGGGCAAUGGGGGAAACCCUGACCCAGCAACGCCGCGUGAAGGAAGAAGGUUUUCGGAUUGUAAACUUCUGUCCUUAGGGACGAUACACCGAUAACGGUACCUGAGGGAACCCCGGCUAACUACCUGCCAGCAGCCGCGGUAAUAC
rnacentral:rRNA from 1 species